UCCAACACUUCUACAAGUCAAGAACAUGCACAUCCCAAUACCCAUCCUCCUAUUACUGCAGAUGCUGCCUGGAUUGCAGGGUCAGGUCUUGACAGAGUCUGAACCAGCGUUGUUAAGACCGGGCCAGUCACAUAAACUGACCUGCACUGCAUCUGGAGGGCUGGAUUUUGAUAGCUACUGGAUGGCCUGGGUCAGACAGGCCCCUGGGAAAGGUCUGGAAUUUGUUUCAAUUAUUGAGUACGACAGUGAUAGAAAAUAUUACUCCAGCGCUGUUCAGGGACGGUUCACAACCACCAGAGACAACCGUGUGGACCAGGUGUAUCUGCAGAUGAACAAUCUGAAGGCUGAAGACACGGCUGUGUAUUACUGUGCCCGAGAGACACAGUGA